rnacentral:rRNA from 1 species
AUUGAACGCUGGCGGCAUGCCUUACACAUGCAAGUCGAACGGCAGCACGGGAGCAAUCCUGGUGGCGAGUGGCGAACGGGUGAGUAAAGUAUCGGAACGUGCCCAGUCGUGGGGGAUAACGUAGCGAAAGUUACGCUAAUACCGCAUACGAACUAUGGAUGAAAGCGGGGGAUCGCAAGACCUCGCGCGAGUGGAGCGGCCGAUAUCAGAUUAGGUAGUUGGUGGGGUAAAGGCCCACCAAGCCGACGAUCUGUAGCUGGUCUGAGAGGACGACCAGCCACACUGGGACUGAGACACGGCCCAGACUCCUACGGGAGGCAGCAGUGGGGAAUUUUGGACAAUGGGCGAAAGCCUGAUCCAGCCAUGCCGCGUGCAGGAUGAAGGCCUUCGGGUUGUAAACUGCUUUUGUACGGAACGAAAAGGACUGCCCUAAUACGGUGGUCCCAUGACGGUACCGUAAGAAUAAGCACCGGCUAACUACGUGCCAGCCGCCGCGGUAA